rnacentral:rRNA from 1 species
UACGACGGGGGCUAGCGUUGCUCGGAAUCACUGGGCGUAAAGCGCACGUAGGCGGCUUUUUAAGUCAGGGGUGAAAUCCUGGAGCUCAACUCCAGAACUGCCUUUGAUACUGAGAAGCUUGAGUCCGGGAGAGGUGAGUGGAACUGCGAGUGUAGAGGUGAAAUUCGUAGAUAUUCGCAAGAACACCAGUGGCGAAGGCGGCUCACUGGCCCGAUACUGACGCUGAGGCACGAAAGCGUGGGGAGCAAACAGG